CGCCAUAUUUGUUUUCACUUUUCUGUGCAGUUGUUUUGAACGGUUUGAACUCGGCUUUGAUUUGAAUAUGCAAAUUUUCUCAAAAUCUAGAAACUGCCAAAAUGCAAUUGCCUAUUUGGUGUGUCAUCGAAAACCCCCCACGAGCUGCGGACGAUUUCCACCGGAGAGGGAAUUUGUUUUGAAUUUGUUGUACCUACAAACUUUUUUGAAUUCCGAAACAGCGGCGAACAAACUGGCUAUUUGCGGCUUAUCGAAAAACUCACGAGCUGCGGUCGAUUGCCAUGAAAUUCCGGAAAAAUAGAAAACUACGAGCAUGAAAAGAACCAAUCCGCUGGAUGCUCGGAUGGAUAUAAUCCGAAACUCGAUCUGAAAACUGUUGCAAAGUGCCGCAGCCCAAGCAAACUGGUGAGCUUAUGCAUGGCCAUGGACACUAGAAUCUUAGUGUUUUGUAUCGGUGGGUCAUCCGGAAGCAGCGUCGUCAACUCUUUGGCUCAGCGAUAGCACAACUGGAAAGCUGGGAGGUAUUGACGAAAGGUAUCGCACUCCGGCAGAACCGAAAACGACGAUGAGGAAUCGGCUAAGCGUACAUUAAGUAUAGGUGCAAUUCGAACUCGCUACCAUUCGCUACCGUUCACAGAGCAUUGCUUAGUGACAUGCGGGAAGCUAGACAGGUAACGGAUCACUAUUCAGAAAACCCGUAAUACUAAAAAGUCGA